CCAUUAUUGGAAGAGUAAAAAAUUUAUGCUUGAAAUGGAAUACUACAACUUCGCAAUCUGUACAUGUCAUUAAAUGGAUUAAACCUCAUUCUUUAGAAAUUAAAAUUCGCAAUCAUGAUUCACGGCUCUUAUGAUAUUACCAGUUACCUUUCCAACUGACAUUUUUCCCAUGUGAGUAUUGUUUUCUUUUGAAAUGUUACCAGUGCAAUUUCAUAUCCUGCUCUAAACGAUAUCAUAUGAUAUUAUGAUUACUGAUGAGAUUAUU
rnacentral:lncRNA from 1 species